rnacentral:rRNA from 1 species
AUUGAACGCUGGCGGCAGGCCUAACACAUGCAAGUCGAACGAGUGGCGGACGGGUGAGUAAUGUUUGGGAAACUGCCUGAUGGAGGGGGAUAACUACUGGAAACGGUAGCUAAUACCGCAUACCAUCGGAUGUGCCCAGAUGGGAUUAGCUAGUAGGUGGGGUAAAGUCUCACCUAGGCAACGAUCCCUAGCGGGUCUGAGAGGAUGACCAGCAAGACUGGAACUGGGAAACGGUCAAGACUCCACCGGGGGGCAGCGGUGGGGAUUAGUGCACAAUGGGCGAAAGCCGGAUGCAGCCAUGCCGCGUGGAUGAAGAAGGCCUUCGGGUUGUAAGGUACUUUCAGCGGGGAGGCGUUACCCGCAGAGGAAGCACCGGCUAACUCCGUGCCAGCAGCCGCGGUAAUUC